AUUAUGAUCUCUUCCCUCCCUCUCUCUCUCUCUCUCACUCACUCACUCACUCACUCACUCACUCACUCGCUCACUCACGUAAGUUUGGUGUGCAAUAAGGAUUUUUAUAAGAAUACUCAACUGUAAUUGGUCAAUUUCUUACGGCUUAAAGUUUGAAUUUUCAUUAUAAGUCGAGACUAACGCUAUAUAGAAAUGAAGAGUUUGGUAAUGAAAUUGUAAGUUACGAGGUAUAAGAAACCUUCAUUCUUUGAAGUGUUACUUGUUUAACUGUCGCAUAUGGCCCUUUUACUUUAAAGCUUGUACAAACUUUGAUGUACUCUACACGGUAUCCUUUCAAUAAUUGUUAUUUCAACAAUUAAUUAAUUAUUAAUUGCACGAUGCGGAAAUUUAUUAUCAAAAGCAAAUCCUUUGUAAAAAAUUUCUAUCCUAUUAGAAUAGCAUAUUAAUAUUAUCCCUGCAUAAAAGCUUAAAAUGUCUUAUUCAAAAAUAGUGUUUCACGAGAUUUUAUCUCGUGAAUUCUGCUUUGUAAAAAUCUCGGAUUGGAUCGUGGCCAAUACUUUUCAGUGCGAUAUUGAGAAUAGAACAUGAGAUCUUGUAUGCCUCUGAAUCCGAUAACAAUUAACAGAAGAAGUGGAUCUUUCUUUCUUAAUGCGAGAGUUCGCAUUUAUUUGCGAUUGAAUGCAAAAAUGUCUAGAAUCAAGUGAAUUCUUUUAAACGCAAGAGUUAAUAAUUGAAAUGAAUUGAAUGCUUAUUCAAACAGAAUUCAAAAGAUAUUCAAUUAAAUAUCUUCUAAAUUCUGUUGAAUUCUGCUUUUUGCAAAAUGUCAAUAUUUUUUAGUUCUUUUCAAUCCGACGUUUUAUGCAGGGAUUGUUAGUAUAUUAAUCACAUAUGUGCGUAUUAUAUUUUGCGUUUGCAUUAAUUUACUUCAGUGCUAUCGAAUGUUUAAUAUAUAUUAAAUUUAACUUAUCGCGAGUCUCGAGACGCGUAAAAUUAAAAGGUUAAACGCGUAGAAGAAAGCUACAACUUUCUGCCGGUCAAUACGUUCCAUCCGGAGGGAACUUGCAAAAGCGUCAGUAGGGUUUCUCUUUCCUCUACGUUAUAUUUAGUGUCAAGGAAAGGAAUGUCACUCAUGUCACUCAUGCGAUUCGUGUAAGAGCUACGUGCCAUUUAUUGCCGCGCGACAGAGACACCCCGAGUAUUAUUAACUAAAACAAAUUGUAAGAGAGGGUGUAUCAUAUCAACAUUACUAUUAGUGUGUGAUAUCAUAUGUCCAAGGUCUUAAAUUAACCCCCGCAUCAAGAGAGAUGUGAGUGGGGAGGGGAAUAGGGUAAAAUAAAAAUUUCAAGUUAGUCGAAGCUGGGCAAAGUGUCUUUCAACGCAAGGCUAUCUCGCGCACGCGACUUUCUCAUGAAUUCCACCUUGAGCCAUUAUUACGGGGUCGUUAAGAAACUGUCAUCGUUAGCUGGUCAGUGGCCAUAUCAGAAGCCAAAAACAAAAUUAAUCUGUUUGAGUAUCGUGACUUUGAGCACACUUUCUAUUAUUGUCCCACAGAUAGCUAAAUUCAUCGAAUGUGAUGGAGAUUUGCAAUGUAUAUUUCAAACCAUGGCAGGAAAUAUGAUGGCGAUUAUAGCCUUGGUGAAGCUGUACACGUGUUAUUUAAACCAAUAUAAAAUGAAAGUUUUAAUCGAUCGGCUGUUCAUCGAAUGGGAUGAAUUGGUAACACCGGAAGAAUGUGAAAUUAUGAAAAGAUAUGCUGAGACUAGCAGGCGAUAUUCCCUGAGAUACUCGUUGUCUUGCUUCACAUCCGCAUUUCUGUUUCUAUGUAUAUCAUUUAUACCGCCAGUAUUAGAUAUCGUAUUACCUCUGAACGAAUCUCGUCCUUUACUACCAGUUCAUCCAGGAUAUUACUUUGUUGAUGAAAGAGAAUACUUCUCAUAUAUAUUCUUACACGCCCUCGUGGCCUGGGAGAUUGCCGUGAUUGGAAUAGUGGCUCACGAUUGUAUGCUUCUAACUUAUAUCGAACACGUUUGCAGUAUCUUCGCCCUCGUCGCAUUUCGAUUCGAACAAUUGAUGUACACUAAUAAUAUUAUGAAAAUUUUACAUUCUCAUACACGUAGUAACACGCAUUGCAAAGGAAUUGUAUUUUCCGUGUAUACCCAUCGAAGGGCUUUAAAGUUCGCUCAACUGAUCGAUGAUACAUUUUCGUUAACAUUGGGUAUACAAAUAAUAUUAAAUACAGCACUUAUCAGCAUGACUUUACUACAAGUACGUGUUUAUUUAAUAUUUCAACUUUCUAUACGUGUGUGGUUUUUUACACAAUUAGAAUCAAAUAUUAUAAUUACAUACAUUUUAUCACAUUUCAAAAUUGCGCAAAAGCAUAUAUGUGAUAAAUAAAAAUGUUAUACUUUUUAUAUUGGAGAUCACACAACGGAACGCCAAUGCUUUAGUAGUGGUGAGAUAUAUAUUUUAUGUCCUUAGUCAACUUAUUCAUCUAUUUUGCCUCAGUUUUGAAGGACAAAAACUGAUAGACCACAGUCUUCAAACACAUGAUAAAAUCUACAAUAGUCUUUGGUACGAAACACCCCCCAAGUCGCAAAGGAUGCUUUUGUUUAUGAUGCAAAAGACUCUUCAACCAAUUUUUUUGAGCGCUUGCAAGAUUUACAUUUUCUCAAUGGAGAAUUUUACCAUGGUAAAGA
rnacentral:misc_RNA from 1 species